AGUGUAGCAAUACAUGCCGGCGGACCGGCGGAUGGGUGCGUAACGCGUAUGCAACCUACCUUAUACAGGGGAAUAACCUUUCGAAAGGGAGACUAACACCCCAUAGCAUUGAUUUAAGGCAUCUUAGAUUAAUUAAAUAUUUAUAGGUAUAAGAUGGGCAUGCGUAUGAUUAGCUAGUUGGUAAGGUAACGGCUUACCAAGGCGACGAUCAUUAGGGGUUCUGAGAGGAAGGUCCCCCCACACUGGUACUGAGACACGGACCAGACUCCUACGGGAGGCAGCAGUGAGGAAUAUUGGUCAAUGGGCGCAAGCCUGAACCAGCCAUGCCGCGUGCAGGGAAAGACGGCCUUAUGGGUUGUAAACUGCUUUUACAUAAGACUAACCGUAUAUUUGCGAAUAUACCUGAAUGUAUUAUGAGAAUAAGGAUCGGCUAACUCCGUGCCAGCAGCCGC
rnacentral:rRNA from 1 species